rfam:Escherichia coli ISC11, WGS project CBWP01000000 data, contig: c23
CGCUAUACUAGCUUCUGAAAUUACCGGUCCACUCCCUUCGGACCGGUUUUCAUUGAAU